GCUAACUGGGUUCGACUAAGCCAUGCAAGUCUAGGGGGCCUUCGGGUCACCGGCAGAAUGAUCUGUAACACGUCAAUAAUCUGCCCUUAGGUCUUGGACAGCCUCGGGAAACUGUGGGUAAACCAGGAUAGGGAAUGGAUACUGGAAUGUGCCAUUCUUGAAAAGCAAUGCCUAAGGAUGAGUUGGCGGUGGAUUAGGCUGUUGGUGGGGUAAAGGCCCACCAAACCUAAGAUCCAUAGGGGCCGUGAGAGCGGUAGCCCCGAGAAGGACACUGAGAUACUGGUCCUAGCCCUACGAGGUGCAGCAGGCGCGAAACCUUUACAAUGCACGAAAGUGUGAUAAGGGAACCCAGAGUGCUCAUGUUUUACAUGGGCUUUUUUUCAAGGGUAAAUACCUUGGAGAAUAAGUGGUGGGUAAGACUGGUGCCAGCCGCCGCGGUAACACCAGCGCCACAAGUGGCGACCAGUAUUAUUGGGCCUAAAGCGUCCGUAGCCGGUUUUGUAAAUGUUCUGUGAAAUUGUCAAGCUCAACUUGACAGCGUGCAAAACAGACUGCAAAACUAGAGACCGGGAGGAGUCAGAGGUAUGCUGGGGGGAGCGGUAAAAUGUUAUAAUCCUCGGUAGACCACCUGUGGCGAAGGCGUCUGACUAGAACGGUUCUGACGGUGAGGGACGAAAGCCAGGGGAGCGAGAUGGAUUAGAUACCCAUGUAGUCCUGGCUGUAAACGUUGCGAGUUAGGUGUUGCAUAAGCUUCUUGCUUAUGCAGUAUCGCAGGGAAGCCGUUAAACUCGCCGCCUGGGAAGUAUGGUCGCAAGACUGAAACUUAAAGGAAUUGGCGGGGGCGCGCCACAAGGAGUGGGGCGUGCGGUUUAAUCUAACUCAACGCAGAGAAUCUCACUAGCAGCGACGGCAAGAUGAAGGUCAGUCUGAAGGGCUUACCUGAUGAGCCAAGAGGUAUUGCAUGGCCGUCGUCAGCUCGUGCCGUAAGGUGUCCAGCUAAGUCUGGCAACGAGCGAGACCUGUACCUACAAUUGCUAACGACUCAAUCUGAGAAUCGAGCACAUUGUAGGGACUGCCCUGGAAACAGGGAGGAAGGUGCAGGCUACGGUAGGUCUGUAUGGUCCGAAUCUGCUAGGCUACACGCGCGCAACAAUGGUAAGGACAAUGGGAUGCCACUUCGUAAGAAGAAGCUAAACCUCUAAACCUUAUCCUAGUCCGAAUCGAGGGUUGUAACUCACCCUCGUGUCGCUGGAAUUCCUAGUAAUCGGAAGUCAACAUCUUCCGGUGAAUAUGUCCCCGCGCCUUGCACACACCGCCCGUCACAUCAACCGAGCAGGGUCUAGGUGAAAUAUAGUUUCUUGAUUAUCUUGAACCUAGGCUCAGUGAGGUGGGUGAAGUCGUCACAAGGUA
rnacentral:rRNA from 1 species